rnacentral:rRNA from 1 species
UUCCGGUUGAUCCUGCCGGACCCCACUGCUAUCGGGAUAGGACUAAGACAUGCUAGUCUUACCAGCCAAGUGCGGCACACAGCUCAGUAGCACGUGGCUAACCUGCCCUCGAGACGGGAACAACCCCGGGAAACUGGGGCUAAUUCCCGAUAGGCGAAGAGCUCUGGAAUGAGCCUUCACCCAAACAGGUUGUCGCUCGAGGAUGGGGCCGCGACCGAUCAGGUUGUUGGUGAGGCAACGGCUCACCAAGCCUUUGACCGGUGCGGGCCGUGGGAGCGGGAGCCCGGAGAUGGGCACUGAGACAAGGGCCCAGGCCCUACGGGGCGCAGCAGUCGCGCAAACUUUGCAAUACACGAAAGUGUGACAGGGCUAUCCCGAGUGCCGUCCGCUGAGGAUGGCUUUUACCCAGUCUAGAAAGCUGGGAGAAUAAGGAGAGGGCAAGUCUGGUGUCAGCCGCCGCGGUAAUACCAGCUCUCCGAGUGGUGUGGAUGUUUAUUGGGCCUAAAGCAUCCGUAGCUGGCCAAGUUAGUCCCCUGUUAAACCCACCGAAUUAAUCGUUGGAUUGCGGGGGAUACUGCCAGGCUAGGGGACGAGAGAGGCAGACGGUAUUUUCGGGGUAGGGGUGAAAUCCUAUAAUCCCGGGAAGACCACCAGUGGCGAAGGCUGUCUGCUAGAACGCGCCCGACGGUGAGGGAUGAAAGCUGGGGGAGCGAACCGGAUUAGAUACCCGGGUAGUCCCAGCUGUAAACGAUGCAGGCUAGGUGUUUGGGCGGCCACGUGCCGCUCUAGUGCCGCAGGGAAGCUGUUAAGCCUGCCGCCUGGGGAGUACGGUCGCAAGAUUGAAACUUAAAGGAAUUGGCGGGGGAGCACCACAAGGGGUGAAGCUUGCGGUUUAAUUGGAUUCAACGCCGGA